GACGAACGCUGGCGGCGUGCCUAACACAUGCAAGUCGAACGAGACCGUCGGGUCUUGCGGCGCUGGGCGAGUGACGAACGGGUGAGUAACGCGUGGGUACCCUGCCUCUCCCCGGGGGAGAACAGAAGGAAACAUAAGCUCAUACCGCAUAAGACCUCUCGCCUUCGGAUGGGCGCGCGUAGGAUUGGCUAGUUGGUAGGGUAAAAGCCUACCAAGGCGACGAUGCUUGGCUGGUCUGAGAGGAUGACCAGCAAGACUGGGACUGAGACACGGCCCAGACUCCUACGGGAGGCAGCAGUGGGGAAUAUUGUACAAUGGGGGAAAACCUGAUCCAGCAACGCCGCGUGAGUGAUGAAGGCCUUAGGAUUGUAAAUUCCUGUUGCCCGGGAUGAUAAUGACGGUACCGGGCAAAGAAGCGCCGGCUAACUACGUG
rnacentral:rRNA from 1 species